GAGGUAUCAGAAGUGCGAAUGCUGACAUAAGUAACGAUAAAGCGGGUGAAAAGCCCGCUCGCCGGAAGACCAAGGGUUCCUGUCCAACGUUAAUCGGGGCAGGGUGAGUCGACCCCUAAGGCGAGGCCGAAAGGCGUAGUCGAUGGGAAACGGGUUAAUAUUCCCGUACUUGGUGUUACUGCGAAGGGGGGACGGAGAAGGCUAUGUUGGCCGGGCGACGGUUGUCCCGGUUUAAGCGUGUAGGUGUGUGUUCCAGGUAAAUCCGGUUCACUUUAACACUGAGGCGUGAUGACGAGGCACCACGGUGCUGAAGCAACAAAUGCCCUGCUUCCAGGAAAAGCCUCUAAGCAUCAGGUAACAUCAAAUCGUACCCCAAACCGACACAGGUGGUCAGGUAGAGAAUACCAAGGCGCUUGAGAGAACUCGGGUGAAGGAACUAGGCAAAAUGGUGCCGUAACUUCGGGAGAAGGCACGCUGACACGUAGGUGAAGUGAUUUACUCAUGGAGCUGAAGUCAGUCGAAGAUACCAGCUGGCUGCAACUGUUUAUUAAAAACACAGCACUGUGCAAACACGAAAGUGGACGUAUACGGUGUGACGCCUGCCCGGUGCCGGAAGGUUAAUUGAUGGGGUCAGCGCAAGCGAAGCUCCUGAUCGAAGCCCCGGUAAACGGCGGCCGUAACUAUAACGGUCCUAAGGUAGCGAAAUUCCUUGUCGGGUAAGUUCCGACCUGCACGAAUGGCGUAAUGAUGGCCAGGCUGUCUCCACCCGAGACUCAGUGAAAUUGAACUCGCUGUGAAGAUGCAGUGUACCCGCGGCAAGACGGAAAGACCCCGUGAACCUUUACUAUAGCUUGACACUGAACAUUGAGCCUUGAUGUGUAGGAUAGGUGGGAGGCUUUGAAGCGUGGACGCCAGUCUGCGUGGAGCCGACCUUGAAAUACCACCCUUUAAUGUUUGAUGUUCUAACGUGGACCCGUAAUCCGGGUUGCGGACAGUGUCUGGUGGGUAGUUUGACUGGGGCGGUCUCCUCCUAAAGAGUAACGGAGGAGCACGAAGGUUGGCUAAUCCUGGUCGGACAUCAGGAGGUUAGUGCAAUGGCAUAAGCCAGCUUGACUGCGAGCGUGACGGCGCGAGCAGGUGCGAAAGCAGGUCAUAGUGAUCCGGUGGUUCUGAAUGGAAGGGCCAUCGCUCAACGGAUAAAAGGUACUCCGGGGAUAACAGGCUGAUACCGCCCAAGAGUUCAUAUCGACGGCGGUGUUUGGCACCUCGAUGUCGGCUCAUCACAUCCUGGGGCUGAAGUAGGUCCCAAGGGUAUGGCUGUUCGCCAUUUAAAGUGGUACGCGAGCUGGGUUUAGAACGUCGUGAGACAGUUCGGUCCCUAUCUGCCGUGGGCGCUGGAAGACUGAGGGGGGCUGCUCCUAGUACGAGAGGACCGGAGUGGACGCAUCACUGGUGUUCGGGUUGUCAUGCCAAUGGCACUGCCCGGUAGCUAAAUGCGGAAAAGAUAAGUGCUGAAAGCAUCUAAGCACGAAACUUGCCCCGAGAUGAGUCUUCCCUGAGACCUUGAGUCUCCUGAAGGAACGUUAAAGACGAUGACGUUGAUAGGCCGGGUGUGUAAGCGCAGCGAUGCGUUGAGCUAACCGGUACUAAUGAACCGUGAGGCUUAACCUUACAACGCCGAAG
rnacentral:rRNA from 1 species